CACAUGCAAGUGAACGGAGGAAUGAAAGCUUGCUUUUUAUAAGCUUAGUGGCAAACGGGUGAGUAACACGUAGGCAACCUCCGACAGGAUGGGGACAACAUUCCGAAAGGAAUGCUAAUACCGAAUGAAGCGGAGGAGAGGCAUCUCUCCUGCGUGAAAGAUGGCCUCAUAUAUAAGCUAUCACUUGUUGAUGGGCCUGCGUCUGAUUAGCUGGUAGGUGAGGUAACGGCUCACCUAGGCGACGAUCAGUAGCCGGUCUGAGAGGAUGAACGGCCACAUUGGGACUGAGACACGGCCCAGACUCCUACGGGAGGCAGCAGUGGGGAAUCUUCCGCAAUGGGCGCAAGCCUGACGGAGCAACGCCGCGUGAGUGAAGAAGGUCUUCGGAUCGUAAAGCUCUGUUGAUGGGGACGAACGUGCCUAA
rnacentral:rRNA from 1 species